GACGAGUGGCGAAAGGGCGAGUAACGCGAUCGAACGUAUCCCGAGGCGGGGGAUAGGUCGCCGAAAGGCGGCGUAAUACCCCAUACGCUCUACGGAGGAAAGGCUUGCCACCUUGGGAGCGGCGAUCGUCCUAUCAGGUUGUUGGUGAGGUAACGGCUCACCAAGCCGAAGACAGGUAGCGGGUGUGAGAGCAUGGCCCGCCGCAUCGGGACUGAGACACUGCCCGGACUCCUACGGGAGGCUGCAGUUCCGAAUCUUCCGCAAUGGGCGAAAGCCUGACGGAGCAAUGCCGCGUGUGGGAUGAAGCUGUUACGCAGUGUAAACCACUGUCAGGGUCUAGCAACACUGAGCAGACCCAGAGGAAGGGCCGGCUAAUUCCGUGCCAGCAGCCGCGGUAACACGGAAGGCCCGAGCGUUAAUCGGAAUCACUGGGCUUAAAGCGUGCGCAGGCCGGACCGGUAGGCAUCUCGUGAAAGCCCACGGCUCAACCGUGGAAACUGCGGGGUGAACCGCCGGUCUCGAGGCAGGUAGAGGUCAACGGAACUAUGGGUGGAGCGGUGAAAUGCGUAGAUAUCCAUGGGAACGCCGGUGGCGAAGGCGGUUGACUGGGCCUGUCCUGACGCUCAGGCACGAAAGCGUGGGUAGCGAACGGGAUUAGAUACCCCGGUAGUCCACGCCGUAAACGCUGCACACUAGGUCGGGGGAGUUCUCACACUUUCCCGGCCGAAGGUAAACUGUUAAGUGUGCCGCCUGGGGAGUACGGUCGCAAGGCUAAAACUCAAAGGAAUUGACGGGGGCUCACACAAGCGGUGGAGCAUGUUGCUUAAUUCGAGGCAACGCGAAGAACCUUACCUAGGCUUGACAUGCACGGAUUAGCCGGCUGAAAGGUCGGUGACGCCUUCGGGUGGAACGUGCACAGGUGCUGCAUGGCUGUCGUCAGCUCGUGCUGUGAAGUGUCGGGUUAAGUCCCUUAACGAGCGCAACCCCUAUCGCUAGUUACUAACGCGUUAUGGCGAGGACUCUAGCGAGACUGCCGGUGUCAAACCGGAGGAAGGUGGGGAUGACGUCAAGUCCUCAUGGCCCCUACGCCUAGGGUUGCAAACGUGCUACAAUGGCGCGUACAAAGCGAUGCAAGCCCGCGAGGGGGAGCAAAUCGCAAAAAGCGCGCCCCAGUUCGGAUUGCAGGCUGCAAUUCGCCUGCAUGAAGCCGGAAUCGCUAGUAAUCGCAGAUCAGCUACGCUGCGGUGAAUACGUUCCUGAGCCUUGUACACACCGCCCGUCACGUCAUGGAAGCCGGGAGCGCCCGAAG
rnacentral:rRNA from 1 species